GAUGAACGCUGGCGGCGUGCCUAAUACAUGCAAGUCGAGCGAACAGACGAGGAGCUUGCUCCUCUGACGUUAGCGGCGGACGGGUGAGUAACACGUGGAUAACCUACCUAUAAGACUGGGAUAACUUCGGGAAACCGGAGCUAAUACCGGAUAAUAUAUUGAACCGCAUGGUUCAAUAGUGAAAGACGGUUUUGCUGUCACUUAUAGAUGGAUCCGCGCCGCAUUAGCUAGUUGGUAAGGUAACGGCUUACCAAGGCGACGAUGCGUAGCCGACCUGAGAGGGUGAUCGGCCACACUGGAACUUGGACACGGUCCAGACUCCUACGGGAGGCAGCAGUAGGGAAUCUUCCGCAAUGGGCGAAAGCCUGACGGAGCAACGCCGCGUGAGUGAUGAAGGUCUUCGGAUCGUAAAACUCUGUUAUUAGGGAAGAACAAAUGUGUAAGUAACUAUGCACGUCUUGACGGUACCUAAUCAGAAAGCCACGGCUAACUACGUG
rnacentral:rRNA from 1 species